rnacentral:rRNA from 1 species
GACGAACGCUGGCGGCGUACCUAAUACAUGCAAGUAGAACGCACAGUUUAUACCGUAGCUUGCUACACCAUAGACUGUGAGUUGCGAACGGGUGAGUAACGCGUAGGUAACCUGCCUGGUAGCGGGGGAUAACUAUUGGAAACGAUAGCUAAUACCGCAUAAUAUUAAUUAUUGCAUGAUAAUUAAUUGAAAGGUGCAAUUGCACCACUACCAGAUGGACCUGCGUUGUAUUAGCUAGUAGGUGAGGUAACGGCUCACCUAGGCGACGAUACAUAGCCGACCUGAGAGGGUGAUCGGCCACACUGGGACUGAGACACGGCCCAGACUCCUACGGGAGGCAGCAGUAGGGAAUCUUCGGCAAUGGACGAAAGUCUGACCGAGCAACGCCGCGUGAGUGAAGAAGGUUUUCGGAUCGUAAAGCUCUGUUGUAAGAGAAGAACGGGUGUGAGAGUGGAAAGUUCACACUGUGACGGUAUCUUACCAGAAAGAGACGGCUAACUACGUG